UCCAGCAGUGGUAGCUCUCCAGGCGGCAUCAUGCCUGUGAUGGUGUUGCACUGCUGGGAGAGGAAUGCCCUGUCUUCUUCCUCCAGUUGCUCUCUGCACUGAUCUGGUGACAUGGGGCAUUAGUGCAAGGCAGAACUGUGCUUCCAUGAGAGGGAGCUAAGUACAACUUUGGCUGCUUAGGUCUAGAGUGGGAGCAAAUACA